AGUGUGUGGAUAUCAGCCCACACAACAGGAGCUUGUGUGCUGCCUUGCAGCUCUGCUUUGUGAGCACCCACAUGGUAGAGCCAAGCCUGUGGUCUCCAAACCCUUCCUCAGUUUUUAAGGUUCCCUUUUCUGCUCUGUUUUUGUUCCUCAGGUGAGAAGUUUUGCCAUGACUCCGUAUUAUUCCUAAUGGGAAUAGUAAGAACAAUUCCAUGAUUGGUCCUCUGGAAAUUUGGCUAAGUGUGGGGAUCCAAAGGGCAAUAAUUCCAAGAGUAAUUGAGCUGGAAAUAAAAAGGAUGCAUCCUUUUUAAAUGUCAUCAUACCAGCCUGUGCAGAGUGGCAGAGCAGAACCAAAGUGGACUGAGAUGUACUGAUAUGGAAUGAGGCUCUUGAGAAACAAAUGUGCUGUACCGUGAGAACAGCUGUCAGAGCCCUUCUGGCAACACUGGGUUAUUGGUUGGAUUUGAUGAUCAUGAAGAGACCAGUUUGGUCAGUCACAAUCUGCCCUUAGUGAAGCUGUCGUGGGUCACUGCUCUGUCCUGGAUGUGCCUCCGCACUGAUUCCAUGAAGAUCUGCUCCAAGAUCUUCCCUGGCACAGAGGAGGUGGUCACAGCUGAUGUUCUAAGAGCAGCUCAAAGAACAUACACCAUCUGGUAGGGAACAGGAACGACUCGCAAGGCGCUCGAGCGGGACGUGUCUGUGUGUUUGCAGUGCCAUGGAUCGUGGGGCAGGACAGCCAAGGGCAAAUCACCUGCCUUACUGCACCCCAGAGGCUGGGGCUGCUCCCAAAGGGGCUCUCACACUGCAGGCCUUUGAGUGUCAACAGUAAUGGCAGUGCACUUUGGGUGUGAACAGCAAAGUAAAUUUACCUUCUGCUGUACCUCUGUGCACUUCUCCUGGGCUAGCACUGCUCCUCUUCAAUUCUCCACCUGUCUGGAUUGUCUUUAUUUUCUUUACUCACAAGGCCACACCACCUGAGAUGCUCACAGGAAACUCGCUGUAAUGAAGAAAUGCAGAUAGUAAGUGUAAUUUAAAGCAAAUGAUAUGGCUCCAUAAAAUCUGUUCUAAAUGAUUCUUUUCCAAGUGUGAUUUACUGGGAUUAAAACUGAGUGGUUUAGACAAGGCUUAAAAAGUCUGUCAUGGAAAACUGCAUUUCUCUGAAUGUUC